rnacentral:rRNA from 1 species
CAGCAGCCGCGGUAAAACAGAGGGUGCGAGCGUUAAUCGGAUUUACUGGGCGUAAAGCGUGCGUAGGCGGCUUCUUAAGUCGGAUGUGAAAUCCCUGAGCUUAACUUAGGAAUUGCAUUCGAUACUGGGAAGCUAGAGUAUGGGAGAGGAUGGUAGAAUUCCAGGUGUAGCGGUGAAAUGCGUAGAGAUCUGGAGGAAUACCGAUGGCGAAGGCAGCCAUCUGGCCUAAUACUGACGCUGAGGUACGAAAGCAUGGGGAGCAAACAGGAUUAGAUACCCGUGUAGUCCCUGUCUCUUAUAC